AGAAAUUUAACAAACAUACACACUCUCUCUCUCUCUCUCUCUUUAUGUCCAAAGUGGGUGUUUGGUCUGCCUUUGUUCCUUUAUGUCCAAAGUGGGUGUUUGGGUCUGCCUUUGUUCUCUCUUCGUAGGUGAUACUGUUUUAAAGGUUUAGAGAGAAAUUUAUAAUAAGCCAUGGGUUGGUUUCCAUGUGCUGGAAAAUCAAGCAAAAAUGCUAAGAAGAAGCAUCAUAACAAGCCUAUUGAUCAGAUCCC
rnacentral:lncRNA from 1 species